UACGGAGGUGGCAAGCGUUGUCCGGAAUUAUUGGGCGUAAAGCGCGCGCAGGCGGUCUCUUAAGUCGUAUGUGAAAGCCCACGGCUCAACCGGGGAGGGGCAUUGGAAACUGGGGGGCUUGAGUGCAGUAGAGGAAAGUGGAAUUCCAUGUGUAGCGGUGAAAUGCGUAGAGAUUUGGAGGAACACCAGUGGCGAAGGCGACUUUCUGGUCUGUAACUGACGCUGAGGCGCGAAAGCGUGGGGAGCAAACAGG
rnacentral:misc_RNA from 1 species